GUUCAAUCUGAGCUGGGCUUUACCCACAGAAACCCUGACAAGUUCCACUGGAUCACACCAGACUCAGUAAAGGUUACCAAACUUGGAGCUUUGUCAACUGUGUUGAAGUCAAGUUCCUAUGAUAAACAAAGGACACUGUGACCCAGCUGACCAGACUUCUUCAGGUUAGAGCUUGAAGAACUUCAUUUCCCAUAAUUCCCCCCUUUUCCCUUUGCCAUUAGUAUCCAUUUUACCUAAGGUAAGACAUGCAUUUGUUUCUCCCUAUA